GACGAACGCUGGCGGCGUGCCUAAUACAUGCAAGUAGGACGCAGUUGCGAACGGGUGAGUAACGCGUAGGUAACUACCUAUUAGAGGGGGAUAACUAUUGGAAACGAUAGCUAAUACCGCAUACUAGUUGAUGGAUCUGCUGUGUAUUAGUUAGUAGGUCGGGUAAUGGGCUACCUAGGCAAUGAAAAAUAGCCCACCUGGAGUGGUGAUCGGCCACAAGUGGACUGAGGCACGGCCCAGACUCCUACGGGAGGCAGCAGUAGGGAAUCUUCGGCAAUUGGGGGAAACCUGAACGAGCAACGCCGCGUGAGUGAAGAAGGUUUUCGGAUCGUAAAGCUCUGUUGUUAAGGGAGCGGUACUUAACCAGAAAGGGACGGCUAACUACGUGCCAGCAGCCGCGGUAAUUC
rnacentral:rRNA from 1 species